rnacentral:rRNA from 1 species
GUUAAAAAGCUCGUAGUUGGAUCUCGGCGGUCUGAGGGCGGUUCGCUUGAUUGAGUGCUACUGCUCUAUAGGCCGUGGUUUUGCCAGAGGUCUCGGGGUGCUCUUAACCGAGUGUCCUGCGAUGCUGGCAGGUUUACUUUGAAAAAAUUAGAGUGCUCAAAGCAGGCUUUUACGCCUGAAUAUUCGUGCAUGGAAUAAUAGAAUAGGAAGUCGUUUCCAUUCUGUUGGUUUUCGGAAAUCGACUUAAUGAUUAAUAGGGACAGUCGGGGGCAUUUGUAUUCAAACGACAGAGGUGAAAUUCUUGGACCGUUUGAAGACAAACUGCUGCGUAAGCAUUUGCCAAGAAUGUUUUCAUUAAUCAAGAACGAAAGUUAGAGGUUCAAAGGCGAUUAGAUACCGCCCUAGUUCUAACCAUAAACGAUGCCAGCUAGCGAUCUGCCGACGUUUUCUUUGUAGACUCGGCAGGAAGCUUCCGGGAAACCAAAGCAUUUGGGUUCCAGGGGAAGUAUGGUUGCAAAGCUGAAACUUAAAGGAAUUGACGGAAGGGCACCACCAGGAGUGGAGCCUGUGGCUUAAUUUGACUCAACACGGGAAAUCUCACCAGGCCCGGACACUGGAAGGAUUGACAGAUUGAUAGC